rnacentral:rRNA from 1 species
UAGGGAAUCUUCCGCAAUGGACGCAAGUCUGACGGAGCAACGCCGCGUGAGUGAAGAAGGAUUUCGGUUCGUAAAACUCUGUUGUUAGAGAAGAACAGCGCAUAGAGUAACUGUUAUGCGUGUGACGGUAUCUAACCAGAAAGCCACGGCUAACUACGUGCCAGCAGCCGCGGUAAUACGUAGGUGGCAAGCGUUGUUCGGAUUUAUUGGGCGUAAAGCGAGCGCAGGCGGUCAAUUAAGUCUGAUGUGAAAGCCCCCGGCUCAACCGGGGAGGGUCAUUGGAAACUGGUUGACUUGAGUGCAGAAGAGGAGGGUGGAAUUCCAGGUGUAGCGGUGAAAUGCGUAGAUAUAUGGAGGAACACCAGUGGCGAAGGCGACUCUCUGGUCUGUAACUGACGCUGAGGCUCGAAAGCGUGGGUAGCAAACAGG